rfam:Magnetococcus sp. MC-1, complete genome.
CGGCGGGAGUCAGUCCUGCAAGGGUAAUAACCAAAUCCCUUUAGCUUGGAUGGCGGGGUGGCGGGAGACCAAAGCCUCGGAGUCCAUCGACAAAUGCCGCUUUAGGUGGCAGCGAGUUAUCAGGCCGUAACAACA